rnacentral:lncRNA from 1 species
CUCACAUCCCUCCUCUACCUACCCCUGACACAUCAAAAUUACCCCUGGUCCUUCACCUGGUGGGACAGGUGUGCCCAUCCUGACAGCUAUUUAAACCCUCCCAUGCCAGGAAAUGGGAACCCAGCUUUUAAAGCUCGUUUUCACCCAGAGGAUGUCAAAGAAUAAAGGAGUGCUUGCUCACAGGCUGUCCCCAAAGCACCAGGAAAUAUAAAUAAAAUUCAAAACCAUACUGAAAUGGAAACAGUUUCAGGAAGAAGUGCAGAGAGAUGCUGCAGUGCCAUUAAGAAGGAUCCCAAUGGUGUUUCCAAGGAGGACUUGCUGCACUAAGGACAGCUGGUUCUGGUGGUCAGAUCCUGGAGGAAAAUGGGGAAUAUCAGUUCCCAAAUCCCAAGGCUGGCACAGACUCCAUGUGUCACCUCAGGGUGGUGAAUGGAAGCAGGAUAACAAUGGUGCUGCCCA